rnacentral:rRNA from 1 species
GACGUAGGGUGCGAGCGUUGUCCGGAAUUAUUGGGCGUAAAGAGCUUGUAGGCGGUCUGUCGCGUCUGCUGUGAAAAUCCGGGGCUCAACCCCGGACUUGCAGUGGGUACGGGCAGACUAGAGUGUGGUAGGGGAGACUGGAAUUCCUGGUGUAGCGGUGAAAUGCGCAGAUAUCAGGAGGAACACCGGUGGCGAAGGCGGGUCUCUGGGCCGAUACUGACGCUGAGGAGCGAAAGCGUGGGGAGCGAACAGG